GACAGAGGCCUCAAGCGUUAGGCGGAAUCACUGGGCUUAAAGCGUGUGUAGGCGGAUCGUUAAGUGUCUUGUGAAAUCCCCACGGCUCACCCGUGGAACUGCUGGGCAUACUGGCGAUCUUGGGCCAACUAGGGGCAACUGGAACAAGCGGUGGAGCGGUGAAAUGCGUAGAUAUCGCUUGGAACGCCAAAGGUGAAAACAGGUUGCUGGGGUUGUGCCGA
rnacentral:rRNA from 1 species